rnacentral:rRNA from 1 species
UACGAAGGGGGCUAGCGUUGCUCGGAAUCACUGGGCGUAAAGCGCACGUAGGCGGACUCUUAAGUCGGUGGUGAAAUCCUGGAGCUCAACUCCAGAACUGCCUUCGAUACUGGGAGUCUCGAGUUCGGGAGAGGUGAGUGGAACUGCGAGUGUAGAGGUGAAAUUCGUAGAUAUUCGCAAGAACACCAGUGGCGAAGGCGACUACCUGGCCUGUUCUUGACGCUGAGGCGCGAAAGCUAGGGGAGCAAACGGG